CAUAGUUGCUAGGAUUAGACCCGAAACCGAGUGAUCUAGCCAUGGGCAGGUUGAAGGUGAGGUAACACUUACUGGAGGACCGAACCGACUAAUGUUGAAAAAUUAGCGGAUGACUUGUGGCUAGGGGUGAAAGGCCAAUCAAACUCGGAGAUAGCUGGUUCUCCCCGAAAGCUAUUUAGGUAGCGCCUCGGACGAAUACUACUGGGGGUAGAGCACUGUUAAGGCUAGGGGGUCAUCCCGACUUACCAACCCUUUGCAAACUCCGAAUACCAGUAAGUAAUAUCCGGGAGACACACGGCGGGUGCUAACGUCCGUCGUGAAGAGGGAAACAACCCAGACCGCCAGCUAAGGUCCCAAAGUUAUAGCUAAGUGGGAAACGAUGUGGGAAGGCUCAGACAGCCAGGAUGUUGGCUUAGAAGCAGCCAUCAUUUAAAGAAAGCGUAAUAGCUCACUGGUCGAGUCGGCCUGCGCGGAAGAUUUAACGGGGCUAAGCUAUACACCGAAGCUGCGGCAAU
rnacentral:rRNA from 1 species